UACGGGGGGGGCGAAGCGUUGUUCGGAAUUACUGGGCGUAAAGGGCUCGUAGGUGGCCAACUAAGUCAGACGUGAAAUCCCUCGGCUUAACCGGGGAACUGCGUCUGAUACUGGAUGGCUUGAGUUCGGGAGAGGAUGCGGAAUUCCAGGUGUAGCGGUGAAAUGCGUAGAUAUCUGGAGGAACACCGGUGGCGAAGGCGGCAUCCUGGACCGGCAUUGACGCUGAUGCGCGAAAGCCAGGGGAGCAAAGCGGGG
rnacentral:rRNA from 1 species